GACGAACGCUGGCGGCGUGCUUAACACAUGCAAGUCGAACGGAAAGACCCUGCUUUUGUGGGGUGCUCGAGUGGCGAACGGGUGAGUAACACGUGAGUAACCUGCCCUUGACUUUGGGAUAACUUCAGGAAACUGGGGCUAAUACCGGAUAGGAGCUCCUGCUGCAUGGUGGGGGUUGGAAAGUUUCGGCGGUUGGGGAUGGACUCGCGGCUUAUCAGCUUGUUGGUGGGGUAGUGGCUUACCAAGGCUUUGACGGGUAGCCGGCCUGAGAGGGUGACCGGCCACAUUGGGACUGAGAUACGGCCCAGACUCCUACGGGAGGCGGCAGUGGGGAAUAUUGCACAAUGGGCGGAAGCCUGAUGUAGCAACGCCGCGUGCGGGAUGACGGCCUUCGGGUUGUAAACCGCUUUCGCCUGUGACGAAGCGUGAGUGACGGUAAUGGGUAAAGAAGCACCGGCUAACUACGUG
rnacentral:rRNA from 1 species